GAAGAUAAAACUAAAAUCAGAAGGUCUCCAAGCAAACCCCUACCUGAAGUGACUGAUGAGUAUAAAAAUGAUGUAAAAAACAGAUCUGUUUAUAUUAAAGGCUUCCCAACUGAUGCAACUCUUGAUGACAUAAAAGAAUGGUUAGAAGAUAAAGGUCAAGUACUAAAUAUUCAGAUGAGAAGAACAUUGCAUAAAGCAUUUAAGGUAUGAUAAUACAGACUUUUUCUAGUUUUAAAAUAUACGGGACAUAACUUAAAAAAAUAUUUUCCUUCCUUUUUACAGGGAUCAAU
rnacentral:sRNA from 1 species